AGAUGUGAGGGUGAUCUGGCUGCAACAUCUGUCACCCCAUCAAUUGCCAGGGUUGAUUCAGCUGAUCUGGCUGGCUACAUGAGUGUUCCCUUCCUCUCUCACCUCUCCACGUACAUCCCUCCCAAAACUGUGCAUUUGGUCAAAGAGGACAACCGUCCUCGAUAGAGGAGGACUGGCCUUCAGUCAAGGGUAUACAAAUAGCUGCACUCCCCUGCUAGAACCUCGAAACAACCUCUCAAUAUCAUUGAGGACCAAUGUAAACUUUAACCUCAGACUGACAGCAAAUAGCUGGAGAGAUU
rnacentral:snRNA from 1 species